rnacentral:rRNA from 1 species
GACGAACGCUGGCGGCGUGCUUAACACAUGCAAGUCGAACGGAAAGGCCUCUUUCGGGGGGUACUCGAGUGGCGAACGGGUGAGUAACACGUGAGUAACCUGCCCUUGACUUUGGGAUAACUUCAGGAAACUGGGGCUAAUACCGGAUAGGAGCUCCUGCUGCAUGGUGGGGGUUGGAAAGUUUCGGCGGUUGGGGAUGGACUCGCGGCUUAUCAGCUUGUUGGUGGGGUAGUGGCUAACCAAGGCUUUGACGGGUAGCCGGCCUGUGAGGGUGACCGGCCACAUUGGGACUGAGAGGCGGCCCAGACUCCUACGGGAGGCAGCAGUGGGGAAUACUGCAGAAUGGGUGGAAGCCUGAUGCAGCAACGCCGUGUGCGGGAUGACGGCCUUCGGGUUGUAAACCGCUUUCGCUCAUGACGAAGCUUUGUGUGACGGUAGUGGGUAAAGAAGCACCGGCUAACUACGUG